rnacentral:snRNA from 1 species
GGAUGUGAGGGCGAUCUGGCUGCAACAUCUGUCACCCCAUUGAUCUCCAGGGUUGAUCUGACUGGCUAUGCGGGUGUCCCCUUCCUCCCUUACAGCACCAUGUGCUGCAUCCUUCCCGAAGCUGCAUGCUCGGUCGAAGAGGAUGGCCUUCCCUGAAUAGAAUCAAACAAACUGAGGCCAG